AUUGAACGCUGGCGGCAGGCUUAACACAUGCAAGUCGAGCGGGGGAAGGUAGCUUGCUACCGGACCUAGCGGCGGACGGGUGAGUAAUGCUUAGGAAUCUGCCUAUUAGUGGGGGACAACAUCUCGAAAGGGAUGCUAAUACCGCAUACGUCCUACGGGAGAAAGCAGGGGAUAUUAGGACCUUGCGCUAAUAGAUGAGCCUAAGUCGGAUUAGCUAGUUGGUGGGGUAAAGGCCUACCAAGGCGACGAUCUGUAGCGGGUCUGAGAGGAUGAUCCGCCACACUGGGACUGAGACACGGCCCAGACUCCGACGGGAGGCAGCAGUGGGGAAUAUUGGACAAUGGGGGGAACCCUGAUCCAGCCAUGCCGCGUGUGUGAAGAAGGCCUUAUGGUUGUAAAGCACUUUAAGCGAGGAGGAGGCUACUUUAGUUAAUACCUAGAGAUAGUGGACGUUACUCGCAGAAUAAGCACCGGCUAACUCUGUGCCAGCAGCCGCCGUAA
rnacentral:rRNA from 1 species